AUCUUCCAAAAGAGAGAAGAAGAGGUCAAUAAGAAGUGGCGAAGUACAGACUCAAGGAAUAAACUUUGCAAGAAGAGAUUCUAACACGGUGCAAGGGGAAAAGGAUCAAAAUGGAGAUCGGAAGAUUAAAAGGACAGAAUUUUCAUGUUGAAUUCGCGACGUGAUAGUAUAUCAUAAAAAACUCAGUUAACAUUUAUUGGGAAUGAAUGAAAACAAAUUUUCAACUCAAGAAAGAUCGAUAGAAGGGAGAUGUCCAAUACCUGCUGCCUUAGGCGAACAAAGGAAGAUCUGUCAGCCUUAAAGAGUAAGGCCUUUGUUAUUGUGAAUCUUCGUUGAAUAACCUCAGACCUGUUGAGGAAGAACACAUCUAAUUACUAAUGCAGACGAUA